rnacentral:rRNA from 1 species
GACGUGCUAAUCUGCGAUAAGCGUCGGUAAGGUGAUAUGAACCGUUAUAACCGGCGAUUUCCGAAUGGGGAAACCCAGUGUGAUUCGUCACACUAUCAUUAACUGAAUCCAUAGGUUAAUGAGGCGAACCGGGGGAACUGAAACAUCUAAGUACCCCGAGGAAAAGAAAUCAACCGAGAUUCCCCCAGUAGCGGCGAGCGAACGGGGAGCAGCCCAGAGCCUGAAUCAGUGUGUGUGUUAGUGGAAGCGUCUGGAAAGGCGUGCGAUACAGGGUGACAGCCCCGUACACAAAAAUGCACAUACUGUGAGCUCGAUGAGUAGGGCGGGACACGUGGUAUCCUGUCUGAAUAUGGGGGGACCAUCCUCCAAGGCUAAAUACUCCUGACUGACCGAUAGUGAACCAGUACCGUGAGGGAAAGGCGAAAAGAACCCCGGCGAGGGGAGUGAAAAAGAACCUGAAACCGUGUACGUACAAGCAGUGGGAGCACGCUUAGGCGUGUGACUGCGUACCUUUUGUAUAAUGGGUCAGCGACUUAUAUUCUGUAGCAAGGUUAACCGAAUAGGGGAGCCGAAGGGAAACCGAGUCUUAACUGGGCGUUAAGUUGCAGGGUAUAGACCCGAAACCCGGUGAUCUAGCCAUGGGCAGGUUGAAGGUUGGGUAACACUAACUGGAGGACCGAACCGACUAAUGUUGAAAAAUUAGCGGAUGACUUGUGGCUGGGGGUGAAAGGCCAAUCAAACCGGGAGAUAGCUGGUUCUCCCCGAAAGCUAUUUAGGUAGCGCCUCGUGAAUUCAUCUCCGGGGGUAGAGCACUGUUUCGGCAAGGGGGUCAUCCCGACUUACCAACCCGAUGCAAACUGCGAAUACCGGAGAAUGUUAUCACGGGAGACACACGGCGGGUGCUAACGUCCGUCGUGAAGAGGGAAACAACCCAGACCGCCAGCUAAGGUCCCAAAGUCAUGGUUAAGUGGGAAACGAUGUGGGAAGGCCCAGACAGCCAGGAUGUUGGCUUAGAAGCAGCCAUCAUUUAAAGAAAGCGUAAUAGCUCACUGGUCGAGUCGGCCUGCGCGGAAGAUGUAACGGGGCUAAACCAUGCACCGAAGCUGCGGCAGCGACGCUUAUGCGUUGUUGGGUAGGGGAGCGUUCUGUAAGCCUGUGAAGGUGUGCUGUGAGGUAUGCUGGAGGUAUCAGAAGUGCGAAUGCUGACAUAAGUAACGAUAAAGCGGGUGAAAAGCCCGCUCGCCGGAAGACCAAGGGUUCCUGUCCAACGUUAAUCGGGGCAGGGUGAGUCGACCCCUAAGGCGAGGCCGAAAGGCGUAGUCGAUGGGAAACAGGUUAAUAUUCCUGUACUUGGUGUUACUGCGAAGGGGGGACGGAGAAGGCUAUGUUGGCCGGGCGACGGUUGUCCCGGUUUAAGCGUGUAGGCUGGUUUUCCAGGCAAAUCCGGAAA